ACACGCAGGCAAUUGUAUGAGAAAAUACCUUUGCGGGUGCGUGCUCACUUCUCUUUCUGUCAGCUCAAAACUCUUCACUUCUCUCUCGCCUUUACAACUCAGACUACUGAAACUUUUUCCUCAGCUUAUAUCUCUUCACGUCCACUUUUCUUUCUCUAUAUGUAUCUAUAGAACUCUUGACUUAUCUCAAUAUUGAGGGUUGAGCUCUUCAUCAUGAUGACUGAUGAGAGAAGUUCAAAUUGACUAUGUUCUUUCUUUUGUUUGGUUUACUGCAUUUGGAUAAGAUCGUAUUUAAAUUUUUUGAUGGAUGUGUAUGUAUGUAUAUUAAUCUCGUAUUAUAAUAAUAAGAGGAGCUUGAAAUUGGGAAGCGUGACUUUUCAUGGUCCUGUAUUUGUCUUUGAUGAGGACGAACCACCUGAAGGUACGCUUGGUUACUGUUAUACUUUAACGGAAAACCAUAAUUUUCUUUUGGAAUUUUUAUGUUUUUUUCUCGUUUUCGCCUUCUUCUUUGCUUAUCAAAUUCAAAACCCUCUUCUUCCUCCUCCUCCGUCUCUUUAUUUUGACCUCCGAUUUUGGCUUUGCUACCUAAUGUUUUUACUUCCUCUUUGUUAUCUGGAUUUGGUUGACAUGAAAACUUUUGUGCCGUUGACUCGAUAAUUUUUUUUUCCCUAAAAUGAGAAAAAUGGUAUGUUUUCACUUCUGGGAAAAUAUAAUCGACUUUGUAGCAAUGAAAAAAGUUCCCAACAAGGCAAUCUCCUUGUACAGCACCAUUUGUUGUUUGGUUUUGGGGGGCAACAACAAAUAACUUCUAUCUCCUGGAGCUUAAUCACUCAGCAUAUUGAAGUACAGAAAUGUAUGGAAAUGAUGAAACAAACAAUCAUCCAAGGAUGACAUUGCCUGGAUUUAACUACAAUCACACUUAGGAUUAAGAUGCUUAUAUGUCAAGUGCAUUGGGUCAUUUUAUAGACAAUGAGCUGCAAGUUUUGUAAUAAACUGAUGAUUCAACUAGAUUGAGAUUUUGACGAAAUGAAAAAUUAGAUUCUCACA